rnacentral:rRNA from 1 species
AACGAACGCUGGCGGCAUGCCUAACACAUGCAAGUCGAACGAGACCUUCGGGUCUAGUGGCGCACGGGUGCGUAACGCGUGGGAACCUGCCCUUAGGUUCGGAAUAACUCCCCGAAAGGGGUGCUAAUACCGGAUAAUGUCUUCGGACCAAAGAUUUAUCGCCUUUGGAUGGGCCCGCGUUGGCUUAGCUAGUUGGUAGGGUAAAAGCCUACCAAGGCGACGAUCCAUAGCUGGUCUGAGAGGAUGAUCAGCCACACUGGGACUGAGACACGGCCCAGACUCCUACGCGAGGCAGCAGUGGGGAAUAUUGGACAAUGGGCGAAAGCCUGAUCCAGCAAUGCCGCGUGAGUGAUGAAGGCCUUAGGGUUGUAAAGCUCUUUUACCCGGGAUGAUAAUGACAGUACCGGGAGAAUAAGCUCCGGCUAACUCCGUG